UACGUAGGGGGCUAGCGUUAUCUGGAAUUAUUGGGCGUAAAGAGCGCGCAGGUGGUUGAUUAAGUCUGAUGUGAAAGCCCACGGCUUAACCGUGGAGGGUCAUUGGAAACUGGUCGACUUGAGUGCAGAAGAGGGAAGUGGAAUUCCAUGUGUAGCGGUGAAAUGCGUAGAGAUAUGGAGGAACACCAGUGGCGAAGGCGGCUUCCUGGUCUGUAACUGACACUGAGGCGCGAAAGCGUGGGGAGCAAACAGGAUUAGAUA
rnacentral:rRNA from 1 species